UUGAGUGUGCGACAUACAGAUCCUGCUCAGUAAGAUUAGUAGUCAUAUUGUAUAAAACAACAUCAAUUCACGAAUUUUCUUUGUUGUCACCUUUCGUAUUGUCUUCCAAAGUCGGUUAUAUAUUGUGACCGUUUGCAGCCAGCUACGAACGGGAUCGCCUACUUCGCACAUUCCACAAAAGUUAACGAGACAGGACCGCAUGGAUGUUCAGUGAUGACGAUUAUGUGGAAAACCGUCAAAGGAGAAAGAGACAAAAAAUAAAAAAAGGACAAACAAAUCACAAAGGGAAGGGGUUGCAUUUACCCCAUAAUUAAAUUAUAUUCUAAGUAUAAUUUUCAAAACAAGAGACGAUACGUUCAGCAAAACUAUGACUUUUGGAGCUGCGUUUGUUGACGUCACAGUUGUCGAUGCGACAUUGUCCAUAGUGUAUGUUUGGUGGUAGGAGCUGACCCAUUCGCGGUGAUUGCUGUAUCUCCCCUGUGCAGCCGUAACUUAUUUAAAUAAAACUCUCCCUCCCUGAUGAUAAA